GUGGUCCAACCACACCGGCGUCCCCAACAUUCUACUACGCCGACAAAAUAAUAAUAAUAAUAAUAAAGUACUUGUUGUCGUCUCGUUUUCCAUCCCAACCCUCCGAGAUCUUUUUAUUUUUUUUAUGUUGUUGCGUGUGUGGCCCCUGUCCAGCUCGACACUCGCGUCGGGAGGACGCGACGGUCCCCGUCCACCUGGAAUCCGGUCAAAUCCCUCACCGACGAUGAGCCAUCCAAGAAAAAGAGAGGGAUGCGGGAUUCGCCAAUUGAUUGCAACCUGGGGUGGCCGUUCAUGGCCUCGUCCAGGCCAUCCCGACCUACUUCGAAAAUCUGCCAACCGAAGGGGAAGCACGAUCUCUGGAGACGAGCGCAAGAUUAUUGCGGCUUCAAAGAACCGCUUCUUGUUUAUGUCAUCGAUAAUCUGGCGCGGAACCUUCAGGUGUUCGAUCCCCGGUGCAAGAGAAGCAAUAAAAAACGCUGUCAUGAACCACUGGUUGUUUCUACUUCUAAUGACCCUUCUAAAUUUGACCUAUUUCUCACGAAUAUGGGGUUUGCGAGGGUUUCGCCACAGAAGCCCCCAAGUGGGUUGUCAAACAUACCACUUUCUAAUGUCAAGCGGUUGCGGUUCGCACUUCCAGCUGUUUCCUUGACGGAGCUGGUCGAGUUAACCUCGCAGUCGAGACGAUCCUCGAAAGAGCAUCUGAAAAGAAGAAACUAUUCUCUGUUCAGGAUUUCUUUCAGAGGCAGAAGGUGAUUUUGCAGUAGCAUGCCUUCUAAAUUUUGUGACACUUGCAUGAUGGCAUAUGAUUAGCUUCAUACUGAUGGAGCUAAGAAAAUUGCUACAGGAAGGCGACUUUUUGAGGAGCUGUACUUGAAGACCUUGAAAUUGCUAUGAGAAGGGAAGACUACAAAGGAAGUGUGCUAGAGAAUUUUUGUGCCACACUAGAUAACACUAGAUGAGAAUUUUUGGGUGGAAACAAUUUUUUUCCUUGAUGGAGGAGGAGCCAACAUCACUGACAAAUGCUGGCCUUCCUAUAAAAGAAGUUAAUGAUAUUGCUAUGAUGCUUUAUCUGAAUGCAAAUGCUGGCGGAUCUAUUUCUUGUAGCCAUUUUUGGAAUUUCAUGCUGCUUCUUCCUUUGGAGCGCCUUGAAGAUGAUCCUCGGUAUGUUAAAAGAAGUUCUCAUAUAUAAUAUCUCCCAUUCCAUGUUGUCCCACUUCUAAUCGGCCCAAUUUUCAGCAAAACAUUUCAUUCAAACACUUUUAUGUUAAUAUCAAUUUUGUAUAUGAAUAAUAAACCAUAAUACAGGUAAUCAAUAACUUCACCAAAAUUGAUGCGUCUUUUUCUUUCUUUUUUCAGUCCUUUGUUUUUGUUGAAUACAUAGUGAGUAGGACCCACCAUUUUGGAGAUUCCUUUACCCGACAUUCAUACAUACAUCAAUGUUUACAAUCUUUGAGGUUAAGAAUACUUUCACACACACGGAGAAACAUACUAACGCAUACAAAUGCAUGCAUAGCUACAAAGAUGUAAAUGUGCUGAAUUGUCCCAAACCUACCAUGCUGGAUUAUGCAUACUAUCUGAACAUAUCCAUUUUUGAACAUUUAUGGUUCACCUAUUCUUUGGGGCCAAAUGUUUGUUGAUAUUGUAAAGAUAUUUUAAUCAAGCUGUGCAGGAACGUAUCAUAUAUUACACUUGACUGUUUGAAGCAGCCACAGUUGUUUCUGAUUCACCACCUGUGGAAAUAGCUGCUGGAGAUGUUCUAACAUCCGCAUUGGCAGGAUUCCUUGCAGGUGCACUUUCUACUUGUGUGUUGCAUCCUCUUGAUACCAUGAAGGCAACGCUCUCUCGCUCGCUCGCUUUCUUGAUUUGUGUAUGUGAAUUAGUUCAAGGUCCUACAUACACUUCUUAUUGAACCAUGUGAAUGUUAGCCACCUCUUAGUAUGGAAAAAUGAUUAAAAAAUAAGUCACAGAAUGGACUGAUCGACUAAGUUAAUUAUCAUUUAGUUUUGAAUAUGGACUUCAGUCUGAGGGGCAUACUAGUCAUUCAACCCAUGGUAUGAUAUGUUAGUUGGUUUGAACUUGGAAUAAUGUUUGAAACCCUAACUGGAUGGUAUCAUCCCUUCUGUUAAAGUUCGUCUUAUUUUCUUUUCUGAAUUGAUAUAAUCUGAAAGAAAGUUGAGAUGAUAUUUGUCUUUGUUUUUCUCUAGCACAUUACCAUCACCUUGCAGGUCUGGUUUUUUAACUUACGAUGCAUACAAGCUCGUUGUAGGAUCAGUAGGUGCCAUUCGCAUAUGGAAGGAAUGAUGUUAGGUUGAAAUGCCUGUUGGAAGAUUAUACUCUUAAUAAACCCUACUUAGAAUUAUACACUUAUAAUUUGUUUAUUUCUUUGUGAUUCAGGUGCAAUAUGGAUCAACCAAUACCGACUUCAGUUUUCUGCAUACACCGUUAAUGCUUUUCGUCAAAAUUCUCUCUUCAAACUGGAACAGCUUUGGGUCCCUUGGCUGAGGCAGAGCAAUGUUCAGUAAUAACAGUGCAUGAUCAGAGGCAAUGUGCUCCAGAUGCUGUUCAACUGCUCUCCAAACCUUAUUCAUAGCUUCCCUAUUAUGGCACCAAGUAAAACAGUUGCUAGUGAAACCAAGUCCAACGAAGCAGAACUAUCAACAAACUGUCAAAACUGAUGAACCUUGGGAGUCACCUGAAAUGGGCAUCCCUCUUUCUUAUCAUGGGCAUCCAAGAUACAUUAAAAUCACCUGUAACACUAGUUCAAAGAGCAGCAGUAAUCACUUGGAAGAUCUGUUAUAAUUGCUGGAAGGACUUCUACUAAUAUACUUAUGAGGAUCUAUGCAGGCGUGUUUAGUCCUAUAUCGACUAUGCAUUAGGUAUAUCUUGGAUACUUACAUAGGACCAAGAAAUCCAAAUAAUAUUUUUUGGCUAGUCUUUUUAGAUGAAGUCUUGGGUUAUUUCAAAUGGUAUCAGAGCAGACUCGGUCCAUAAUCUUUGUGGAUUAGGAUGACACUGCAGUAUAUGCCUAUCGGGCUAACCAUGGGCCGAUCGUGUUAUUUGUGAUUGGAUUUGUUGUAUUUAUGAAUAUAUUCGCAUUUAUUUGAACUCUUAGUCUGGUAAGAAGAUCAGGACUUAAAUGAGAAGA